rnacentral:misc_RNA from 1 species
GGCAAAUGAGUUCAAUCAAGCCAAACAAACAAAGUAUUCAUGAAUUGUCCUCUAAAGAAUUAACUAGAACAGAAGGAAUAUCAACAUUGACUGCAACCAUAACCAAAUAAGGCGUGCACUGUAUAAAUUACCUCUCAAAAGAACAAUAUUUAAAAAGAAAGGAUUACAAUAAAAUAUACAUCUUUGAAUUAUGUCAACUUAAGAACAUCUAUUCUGAAAUUCUAUACGGAGAUACAAAGUUACAUGAUGGUGGUAAGCCGAAUGGGGGGAAAAAGGCAUGGUCAUUUCACAUUAAAGACAUGUUCGAUUUCCAUUCUAUAAUUUACUCGGCCAAUGCAACUCUAUCAAAAUCCAUUAGCAUGAAAGGAAUGGAGUAACCAUAACUAAUCAAAUAAUAUUUCAAGUUACUCAGCUGGGCUGUGCGAGUGCUGCAAAUAAUGUCGUGCUGCUGAAAGGCUUAAACCGUAAAAAUCUUCCUCACCUUCUUCAUGUUUCUAUGACAUACAGGGCAAGUACCAGCAGCCUCCACUAUCCUGCAGAGAUAAAAUACAACUCAUGACUUGCACUGGCUUCCCAUAGGCCAGCUGGCCGAGAUGAGUGUCACAUGAGAAGUUUAUAGCAAUUUGACAAGAAGCGUGGAAACAACCAAAUUUUCUGUACCCAAAUCUUACGAGUAACUAUGACCGGGGUUGAGGCCAAAUACAUAGAAAGUGAGAUAUAUAACAUUCUGACAAUUGGCUAAUUAACUUUUUUAUUUCUCCCUAAAAUCUUAAAAGAUCUGAAGUCAUUUAUAAUUUCUCCAUAGCUGCAGUUCCCAUUACACCACCCAGUCCCCUUAGGAAUGAUAAGGUAUUGAUUCUAAGAGGUCAUGAUAGUAUACAAGUCUGUCCACACCCCACUGCAACCACACAAAGAUAAACUUGCUCUACAGAUAUUUAGUUCUAUAAUUAACAUCCAAUGGAGAUUUGCCAAACCAAAUUGAGCUCCAA